rnacentral:rRNA from 1 species
UACAGAGGGUGCGAGCGUUGUUCGGAAUUACUGGGCGUAAAGCGCGCGCCGGCGGCCUUUUAAGUCUGACGGUGAAAUCCCCGGGCUCAACCCGGGAACUGCGUCCGAUACUGGCAGGCUUGAAUUCGGGAGAGGGAUGUGGAAUUCCAGGUGUAGCGGUGAAAUGCGUAGAUAUCUGGAGGAACACCGGUGGCGAAGGCGGCAUCCUGGACCGAUAUUGACGCUGAUGCGCGAAAGCCAGGGGAGCAAACGGG